GAUCCUAACCCUGAGCUAUCCAUUUAUUCAAGACCUCUAGGGAUAAGGUUGAAGCUGUGUUUUAUUUUGAGACAGGCUGGCCUUGAACUUACUACAUAGCCCCUGAUGACCUUGGACCCUGAUCUUCUUGUCUAACUCCUGAGCGCUGGCGUUACAGGCAUCACCCUCCGUGCGCACUCAGUUUCUAUUGUUCCGCACCUGCAGGGACUUACGCAUGCGUGCACACUUGGCAGGCGCUCCACCAACUGAGCCACAUCCCCGGCCCUCAAGGUGCGAGUGAAGGAUAGGACUGGCUUACAGGAACUUGCCCGCAGAGCUGGAGAUCAGAGUGAAGGCACACACACGGAGAAUGGGGGGUGACUGUGAGGCUCAGUGAGCUCAUCUAUGGAAAGCGCCUGCAUCAUUGAGAGGGGUCGGUGUGAACUACCAUGACAUGCUGGCUAGCCUGGUGUUUUGAAUGCCUGUCUCUCCCUGGUCUAAUUCUAGUAAGUUCAUUACCUGCGAUGCUUAAACUUGUCAACUUGACUGAAUUUGGAGUCACCCAGGAGAUUAACCUCUGCGUGUGCCUUUGACCCCCCACACCCUGGCUGCACCAACCCCAAAUUCCGAGAAUGACAUGAAAUAAGAGAUCCCCAGCUAAGUCUCUCUUGAGCUUGAAAGGCUGACUCUCCUGCCUUCUGGACGUGCUACCUUCCUUCUGCCCCAGCCCUGUAUUUCCCAAGGGACUCAAUUUGAGAAGGGUGACAUUUCAGUGGCAGCUGCAGCAGGCCCAGCAUCCGUGGCAACAGCAGGGACGGACACUGUUGCGAAACGGGGAAGAUGUGUGAAUUGUCCAUUUCACACUGAUCCUUUAAUGCGGACACCCUCGCUGGUGAUAAUGAAACAGGAGGACAGGGAUAUUAUGUUCUCGGUUCCUGCUACACUCUGGGGCAGCUGGCUGCUGUGCAAGCUUGUGAAAACCGUAGGCAUCGGGUAAGAGCCACCUGACCGGGGAGCCGGAUGCAUUUCAGUUUAUUUCAUCUUACACCAUGCCGAGGGCUAAUUAGAGCAAGCCUAUCGCUGCGGUGUUAACUGGGGCAAGCGAGCCUGGCAUAGCAUUUCUCCUAAGCUGGAUGCCAGGUAAACAUCUAUUAAUGGCAGUGAUGGUGAUACAGACUGAGAGAAUUCCCGAAGAUGUCAUGGUGCUGGGCUUAUGCAGAUCUGGCUCUCAGAACAGACAGCUGAAAUGUAUUGGAGUGUGGUCUCUCUUUCUUCUCUUUCUUCCUUCUUUCCCUGUCUUUUUUCUUUGCCUUUCCCUCCUUCCUUCCCCCCUCCCUUCCAACUUUCCCUUCUUUCUGACAUGGUCUCAAAUAUACCAUCUUGGACUUGAACUUGCUAUGUAGCUGAGGAUAACCUUGAACUUUGUGUGUGUGUAUAAUACAUACAUGUGUAUACAGGUAGAAAGGGGUGUUAGUGUGGGUGCACAUGGAAGCCAGAGGACAACCUUAGCUGCCAUUCUUCAGGCAUGAUCCACCUUGGUUUUGAGACAGGGUCUUUCACUGACUUAGAACUCACCAGGUAGGCUACACUUGCUGGCUGCUGCCUCUCCAAUCCUGGAAUUACAAGACUUGCAUCAUUACAGUGGCUUUGCCCCCAUGAGCUCUGGAUAUUGAACUCAGCCUUUCAUAGCAAGCUUUACCCACAGCAAGCCCUCACACCACCACUGCUUGGACGUACUCCUGACUCACCUACAGGUGAGAACGGGUGUUCCAGGAAUGCAACAUGACAUCCAGUGUUGUGUGUUGCUGGGGGAUGGAACCCAGGGCUGUGCAUGCUAGGCAAGCACUCUACCAAAUGAGUUACAGCCUCAGCAACCUACCCAGCACUUUUUCACCAUCAGUCAUCAUUGUUCCACAGAGCAUGGUCUUUACUGCCAUUAAGAUCCCUGUGAGGCUGG